rnacentral:rRNA from 1 species
UACGAAGGGGGCUAGCGUUGCUCGGAAUCACUGGGCGUAAAGCGCACGUAGGCGGCUUUCUAAGUCAGGGGUGAAAUCCUGGAGCUCAACUCCAGAACUGCCUUUGAUACUGGAGAGCUCGAGUCCGGAAGAGGUGAGUGGAACUCCGAGUGUAGAGGUGAAAUUCGUAGAUAUUCGGAAGAACACCAGUGGCGAAGGCAGCUCUCUGGGCCUGUACUGACGCUGAGACGCGAAAGCGUGGGGAGCGAACGGG